GAGAGAGAGAGAGAGAGAGGAGGAGGAGGGCAAAGGAGGGGAGGUGGAGUUGGGUUUGUGAAUGAAAAAAAAAGCGAGGGGGGUGCUUUAUAGUAAGAUUGCGGGGAGAAGGCGACGACCUCUGUGGCGUGAACCAGACUCAAACUCUUUGACGCAUUUUAACAAAUGCGUGGCAGUAGGGAUUUCGGAGGUGAACGAAAUAAAAAAAAAUAUCAAAUUCUUAUUAAAAAAGGACAGCAGAGGAACCUCUCUUGGAAUUUCCCCUUUCUUGGUAGAAGUCGCUAAAAGCCGGGGGCGUAAACGUCAAAAAUGCGCUGCCCGUUGC
rnacentral:lncRNA from 1 species